rnacentral:rRNA from 1 species
CCCCCUGUGAGAAUGCCCUAACAGUUCCCUGCCCGGGAACAAGGAGCCGGUAUCAGGCACAUCCUAUUGAGCCCAUGACGCCUUGUUAAGCCACGCCCUCAAGGGAACUCAGCAGUGAUAGACAUUAAGCCAUAAGUGAAAACUUGACUUAGUUAAGGCUAGUAGGGCCGGUAAAUCUCGUGCCAGCUACCGCGGUUAUACGAGAGGCCCAAGCUGACGAAACACGGCGUAAAGCGUGGUUAAAGAGAGAUCAAUACUAAAGCCGAACACCCUCAUGGCAGUUAUACGCAUCCGAAGGUUAGAAGCCCAACUACGAAAGUGGCUUUAUCCCCCUUGAACCCACGAGAGCUAAGGCA